GACGAACGCUGGCGGCGUGCUUAACACAUGCAAGUCGAACGGAGUGGAGAACGGGCGUGUAACACGUGGGUGACCUGCCCUGCACUUCGGGAUAAGCCUGGGAAACUGGGUCUAAUACCGGAUAGUGGGGGAUGGGCCCGCGGGCUAUCAGCUUGUUGGUGGGGUAAUGGCCUACCAAGGCGGCGACGGGUGGCCGGCCUGAGAGGGUGGACGGCCACGUUGUGCCUGAGGCACGGCCCAUACUCCUACGGGAGGCAGCAGUGGGGAAUAUUGCACAAUGGGCGGGAGGCUGAUGCAGCGACGCCGCGUGGGGGAUGACGGCCUUCAGGUUGUAAACUCCUGUCGCCAUCGACGCGGUAGAUGGAGAAGAAGCACCGGCUAACGACGUGCCAGCAGCCGCGGUAAUUC
rnacentral:rRNA from 1 species